rnacentral:lncRNA from 1 species
UGUUGACCAUACAUUAUGAGGGAAAUAUUUAAUACUAUUUGGAGACUGAUAUAUUUUCCUCUUAUCUAGAGUAAAAUAAAUUAUAAGAAGUGAUGAAAACAACCAUUUAAUUAGACUUAAGGAACCAUGUUUACCAGAGAUGUUUCCCAAGAUGGACAACAGACUGACCAUGUUGAUUCAGAACUAAGUACUAAUAAAAAGGAGUUUAAUAAGAAGUCUAAUAGAAAUCAAAUUGUAUUUAUCAACUUUAAUUCUAUUUUAAUGCACGAGUCCUAACAGCCAAACGACUAAUAUGCUGACAUUUCUUAAUUCAUUUUUUCUGACUGUGCUCCCAAAAGGUGUGUGAAAAUGCAG